GUGAAUGAAACCACUGGCAGCACAUAUACUAAAAUUGGAACCAUACAGAGAAGAUUAGUGACCCCUGCUCGAGGAUGACAUGCAAAUUUUUGAAGUGUUCCAUAUUUUU